GUUUAAUUCGAUGCAACGCGAAGAACCUUACCUACUCUUGACAUCCAGAGAAUUCGCUAGAGAUAGCGUAGUGCCUUCGGGAACUCUGAGACAGGUGCUGCAUGGCUGUCGUCAGCUCGUGUUGUGAAAUGUUGGGUUAAGUCCCGCAACGAGCGCAACCCUUAUCCUUUGUUGCCAGCGGUUCGGCCGGGAACUCAAAGGAGACUGCCAGUGAUAAACUGGAGGAAGGUGGGGAUGACGUCAAGUCAUCAUGGCCCUUACGAGUAGGGCUACACACGUGCUACAAUGGCGCAUACAAAGAGAAGCGACCUCGCGAGAGCAAGCGGACCUCAUAAAGUGCGUCGUAGUCCGGAUCGGAGUCUGCAACUCGACUCCGUGAAGUCGGAAUCGCUAGUAAUCGUAGAUCAGAAUGCUACGGUGAAUACGUUCCCGGGCCUUGUACACUCCGCC
rnacentral:rRNA from 1 species